AAGGAAUAUUGGUCAAUGGAGGAAACUCUGAACCAGCCAUCCCGCGUGCAGGACGAAGGCCCUCUGGGUUGUAAACUGCUUUUACCAGGAAAGAAACGAGUGGGCUUGCCCGCUCCUGACGGUACCUGGGGAAUAAGCACCGGCUAACUCCGUGCCAGCAGCCGCGGUAAUACGGAGGGUGCAAGCGUUAUCCGGAAUCACUGGGUUUAAAGGGUGCGUAGGCGGCUUGAUAAGUCAGGGGUGAAAGCUUCCCGCUCAACGGGAGAACUGCCCUUGAUACUGUCAGGCUCGAAUUGGGUUGAGGCCGGCGGAAUGUGGCAUGUAGCGGUGAAAUGCUUAGAUAUGCCAUAGAACACCGAUUGCGAAGGCAGCCGGCCAAGCCUUGAUUGACGCUGAGGCACGAAAGCGUGGGGAGCGAAC
rnacentral:rRNA from 1 species